GACGAACGCUGGCGGCGUGCUUAACACAUGCAAGUCGAACGGAAAGGCCCUGCUUUUGUGGGGUGCUCGAGUGGCGAACGGGUGAGUAACACGUGAGUAACCUGCCCUUGACUUUGGGAUAACUUCAGGAAACUGGGGCUAAUACCGGAUAGGAGCUCCUGCUGCAUGGUGGGGGUUGGAAAGUUUCGGCGGUUGGGGAUGGACUCGCGGCUUAUCGGCUUGUUGGUGGGGUAGUGGCUUACCAAGGCUUUGACGGGUAGCCGGCCUGAGAGGGUGACCGGCCACAUUGGGACUGAGAUACGGCCCAGACUCCUACGGGAGGCAGCAGUGGGGAAUAUUGCACAAUGGGCGGAAGCCUGAUGCAGCAACGCCGCGUGCGGGAUGACGGCCUUCGGGUUGUAAACCGCUUUCGCCUGUGACGAAGCGUGAGUGACGGUAAUGGGUAAAGAAGCACCGGCUAACUACGUGCCAGCAGCCGCGGUGAUACGUAGGGUGCGAGCGUUGUCCGGAUUUAUUGGGCGUAAAGGGCUCGUAGGUGGUUGAUCGCGUCGGAAGUGUAAUCUUGGGGCUUAACCCUGAGCGUGCUUUCGAUACGGGUUGACUUGAGGAAGGUAGGGGAGAAUGGAAUUCCUGGUGGAGCGGUGGAAUGCGCAGAUAUCAGGAGGAACACCAGUGGCGAAGGCGGUUCUCUGGGCCUUUCCUGACGCUGAGGAGCGAAAGCGUGGGGAGCGAACAGGCUUAGAUACCCUGGUAGUCCACGCUGUAAACGGUGGGUACUAGGUGUGGGGUCCAUUCCACGGGUUCCGUGCCGUAGCUGACGCUUUAAGUACCCCGCCUGGGGAGUACGGCCGCAAGGCUAAAACUCAAAGGAAUUGACGGGGCCCCGCACAAGCGGCGGAGCAUGCGGAUUAAUUCGAUGCAACGCGUAGAACCUUACCUGGGUUUGACAUGGAUCGGGAGCGCUCAGAGAUGGGUGUGCCUCUUUUGGGGUCGGUUCACAGGUGGUGCAUGGCUGUCGUCAGCUCGUGUCGUGAGAUGUUGGGUUAAGUCCCGCAACGAGCGCAACCCUUGUUCACUGUUGCCAGCACGUUAUGGUGGGGACUCAGUGGAGACCGCCGGGGUCAACUCGGAGGAAGGUGGGGAUGACGUCAAGUCAUCAUGCCCCUUAUGUCCAGGGCUUCACGCAUGCUACAAUGGCUGGUACAGAGAGUGGCGAGCCUGUGAGGGUGAGCGAAUCUCGGAAAGCCGGUCUCAGUUCGGAUUGGGGUCUGCAACUCGACCUCAUGAAGUCGGAGUCGCUAGUAAUCGCAGAUCAGCAACGCUGCGGUGAAUACGUUCCCGGG
rnacentral:rRNA from 1 species